rnacentral:rRNA from 1 species
CCUACGGGGGGCUGCAGUGGGGAAUAUUGGACAAUGGGCGAAAGCCUGAUCCAGCCAUGCCGCGUGUGUUAAGAAGGCCUUCGGGUUGUAAAGCACUUUCAGUGGGGAAGAAAGCCUUGGGGCUAAUACCCUCGAGGAAGGACAUCACCCACAGAAGAAGCACCGGCUAACUCCGUGCCAGCAGCCGCGGUAAUACGGAGGGUGCGGGCGUUAAUCGGAAUUACUGGGCGUAAAGCGCGCGUAGGCGGUCUGAUAAGCCGGUUGUGAAAGCCCCGGGCUCAACCUGGGAACGGCAUCCGGAACUGUCAGGCUAGAGUGCAGGAGAGGAAGGUAGAAGUCCCGGUGUAGCGGUGAAAUGCGUAGAGAUCGGGAGGAAUACCAGUGGCGAAGGCGGCCUUCUGGACUGACACUGACGCUGAGGUGCGAAAGCGUGGGUAGCAAACAGGAUUAGAUACCCGAGUAGUC